UUUUCACUUUACUAAGAGCAGAAUCUUGCUCCUCUUUCUCUUUUCUGGCAUUAUUGUUGCAUGGAAAUAUAGCUUCUGAAUCUACGCCGUAAUGACUGUGAUGACUUCUCUCCUCCUAUCCCAUCUUUCAGAAGAAGCUAAUAACAGGAGUUUCACCCUUAGGUUGGACAAAAUGAAUGUCAAUGGCAAAAAUAUGCUUAUUGAAAGAGAAGUAGACUAUGAAAUCAUCUGCAGAAACAGACAAGGUCACAAUAGAAGUGUGAAAGUAAAAUAUUAAUCAACUGGAAUGGAAUGGAAAUCCCAAGGUAACACAAGAAACAAGGACACAAAAGGUACUAUGUGAUGCUGAACGUUCAUAUCGUAGAGGACUUCAUGAUUAGUAAAAUUAGUACUUUCUACUGUUACCACCAUUAUAAAAUAGUUCUCUACACAUGGUUCCUUAAAAAUCCUGCAGUAAUCAGACAGACUACAGGCUAAAGUAGAGAAUUCAAGCAACCUGGCAUCGAAGAUAAUAUUGGAAACAUGAUUCACAUUUUAAAACUUGCCGUUUCUUCUGCUUAGACUGUAUUAUUAUUGUGUUUGUCAUGUGUUCGCACAUUUUCAAAUGAGUUGGGUUGACAGAGAAUAUUCUUUGUAAAGGUGAACACGUAGGUGACUUUUGGCCUAAUUUGUCUUGUUCCUCUGUAAAAAUGUAGAAGUCUCCACAGUUUUUCUUUCCUCU
ensembl:lncRNA